rnacentral:misc_RNA from 1 species
UGGUUCAAAAUGGCUUCCAUUUUGUCCAUAAGAUAGCCCACCAUACGUCUUUAACAAUUCAAUCAUGCCAGAUUUCUUAGCGCCUUCUGCAUCGGCUAGAGGCGUGUUUCUCCAACGAUCCUGAGCGUUGACAUCGGCACCAUAGUCAAUCAAGCACUUUGCAACAUCGAUCCAGCCAUGUAACGCUGCAACGUGGAGUGGAGUUCGAUUAUCGUAAUCUCUAGCUUGAACAAGCGUCCGAUCUUCUUCUAGAAGCUUCCUUACGGCAGUCGCAUCGUUAUGAUGAGCGUGCCAGAGUAUUUGCGAAGUCUUGCUCACUCUUGACUUUUCCUUCUUCUUUUCCGUCGAUACCACCGGUAUUUCGACGGCGCCGGCGGCAGCCGAUGAGCCGGAGCUCCCUUCACUUGCACUCAUUUGGAUCGUCGAUCACUAGACUCGUGUGUUCCGUUUCUUUUGAAUGUGUG